rnacentral:rRNA from 1 species
UAGGGAAUCUUCGGCAAUGGACGAAAGUCUGACCGAGCAACGCCGCGUGAGUGAAGAAGGUUUUCGGAUCGUAAAACUCUGUUGUUAGAGAAGAACGUUGUGUAGAGUGGAAAAUUACACAAGUGACGGUAUCUAGACCAGAAAGGGACGGCUAACUACGUGC